rnacentral:rRNA from 1 species
UUUAUGGAGAGUUUGAUCCUGGCUCAGGAUGAACGCUGGCGGCGUGCCUAAUACAUGCAAGUCGAGCGAACGGACGAGAAGCUUGCUUCUCUGAUGUUAGCGGCGGACGGGUGAGUAACACGUGGAUAACCUACCUAUAAGACUGGGAUAACUUCGGGAAACCGGAGCUAAUACCAGAUAAUAUUUUGAACCGCAUGGUUCAAAAGUGAAAGACGGUCUUGCUGUCACUUAUAGAUGGAUCCGCGCUGCAUUAGCUAGUUGGUAAGGUAACGGCUUACCAAGGCAACGAUGCAUAGCCGACCUGAGAGGGUGAUCGGCCACACUGGAACUGAGACACGGUCCAGACUCCUACGGGAGGCAGCAGUAGGGAAUCUUCCGCAAUGGGCGAAAGCCUGACGGAGCAACGCCGCGUGAGUGAUGAA